UACGAGAGGCCCAAACGUUAUUCGGAUUUACUGGGCUUAAAGAGUUCGUAGGCGGCUUGGAAAGUGGGGUGUGAAAGCCCUCGGCUUAACCGAGGAAUUGCGCUCCAAACUACCGAGCUUGAGGAGGCUAGAGGUGAGCAGAACUGAUGGUGGAGCGGUGAAAUGCGUUGAUAUCAUCAGGAAUACCGGAGGCGAAGGCGGCUCACUGGGACCUUUCUGACGCUGAUGCGCGAAAGCCAGGGGAGCGAACGGG
rnacentral:rRNA from 1 species